GCCCGGCUAGCUCAAUCGGUAGAGCGUGAGACUCUUAAUCACGUUAUCAUCUCAAGGUUGUGGGUUCGACCCCCACGUCGGGCU